UCAGCGGGUUACGAUUGACGGAGCGAAGCGACGUCAAAGCGUAUAGAAAGUCGAGUCGGUUUAAGGAUACGUUCGUUGGGUAGGGGAGCGUUCUGUAAGCCUGUGAAGGUGUGUCGUGAGGCAUGCUGGAGGUAUCAGAAGUGCGAAUGCUGACAUAAGUAACGAUAAUGCGGGUGAAAAACCCGCUCGCCGGAAGACCAAGGGUUCCUGUCCAACGUUAAUCGGGGCAGGGUGAGUCGACCCCUAAGGCGAGGCCGAAAGGCGUAGUCGAUGGGAAACAGGUUAAUAUUCCUGUACUCGGUGUUACUGCGAAGGGGGGACGGAGAAGGCUAUGUUGGCCGGGCGACGGUUGUCCCGGUUUAAGCGUGUAGGUGUGUGGACCAGGCAAAUCCGGUUCACUUUAACACUGAGGCGUGAUGACGAGGCACUACGGUGCUGAAGCAACAAAUGCCCUGCUUCCAGGAAAAGCCUCUAAGCAUCAGGUAACAUCAAAUCGUACCCCAAACCGACACAGGUGGUCAGGUAGAGAAUACCAAGGCGCUUGAGAGAACUCGGGUGAAGGAACUAGGCAAAAUGGUGCCGUAACUUCGGGAGAAGGCACGCUGAUGGUAGGUGAAGUGAUUUACUCAUGGAGCUGAA
rnacentral:rRNA from 1 species